GGGGCCGUACUGGUUUCGACGGGGGUAGUGAGGCUGGAGUAGCGGGCCGUGGCGCCUGGCCACGAUAAAACGGGCAAUUUUCUUAAAUUUAACUGACAACAAUUCUGUUGCAAUGGCUGCCUGAUUAGGCGCCCAUCCGCCCCGGAAGGUCCACGAGCCGGGCUCGGGUGUGAUUUGAGUGGAGACCGUGCGUACGCUAAGCUUUGCGCGUACCAUGAAUCAUGAAGCUACUGACUCCCGUAGGGUGUUUGCUCUCGCCGGGAUGAGGGAAUGUAAAUAACAAACUGCGCCCGGAGAAGCUCUUUCCAAGUUGCUUUCGGACAGGGGUUCGAUUCCCCUCGGCUCCACCA
rnacentral:tmRNA from 1 species